CGCUAGCGGUAGGCCUAACACAUGCAAGUCGAACGGUAACAUAGAGAGCUUGCUCUCUGAUGACGAGUGGCGGACGGGUGCGUAACACGUAUGCAACUUACCCCUAUCUAAGGAAUAGCCCAGAGAAAUCUGGAUUAAUACCUUAUAACAUCAUUUCAUCGCAUGGUGAGAUGAUUAAAGAGUUAUCGGAAAGGGAUAGGCAUGCGGCCCAUUAGUUUGUUGGUGAGGUAACGGCUCACCAAGACUACGAUGGGUAGGGGGUCUGAGAGGAUGAUCCCCCACACUGGUACUGAGACACGGACCAGACUCCUACGGGAGGCAGCAGUGAGGAAUAUUGGUCAAUGGACGAAAGUCUGAACCAGCCAUACCGCGUGCAGGAAGACAGCCCUACGGGUCGUAAACUGCUUUUGUUAACCAAGAAACCUCCCCACGUGUGGGGAGCUGACUAGUUUUCGAAUAAGGACCGGCUAACUCCGUGCCAGCAGCCGCGGUAAUACGGAGGGUCCAAGCGUUAUCCGGAUUUAUUGGGUUUAAAGGGUUCGUAGGCGGAAAGAUCAGUCAGUGGUGAAAGCCUGUGGCUCAACCAUAGAAUUGCCAUUGAUACUGUCUUUCUUGAAUGCAAAUGAAGUGGGCGGAAUGUGUCGUGUAGCGGUGAAAUGCUUAGAUAUGACACAGAACACCGAUUGCGAAGGCAGCUCACUAAAUUGUGAUUGACGCUGAGGAACGAAAGCGUGGGGAGCGAACAGGAUUAGAUACCCUGGUAGUCCACGCUGUAAACGAUGAUCACUCGAUAUUGGCGAUAUAUUGUCAGUGUCCAAGCGAAAGUGGUAAGUGAUCCACCUGGGGAGUACGCUCGCAAGAGUGAACUCAAGGAAUUGACGGGGGCCCGCACAAGCGGUGGAGCAUGUGG
rnacentral:rRNA from 1 species